CCUACGGGUGGCAGCAGUGAGGAAUAUUGGUCAAUGGGCGCGAGCCUGAACCAGCCAAGUAGCGUGAAGGAUGACUGCCCUACGGGUUGUAAACUUCUUUUAUAAAGGAAUAAAGUGAGGCACGUGUGCCUUUUUGUAUGUACUUUAUGAAUAAGGAUCGGCUAACUCCGUGCCAGCAGCCGCGGUAAUACGGAGGAUGCGAGCGUUAUCCGGAUUUAUUGGGUUUAAAGGGUGCGUAGGCGGUUUUUUAAGUUAGUGGUUAAACGUCGGGGCUUCACCUUGAUUUGCCAUUAAUACUGUAAGACUCGAGUUCAGACGAGGUAGGCGGAAUAAGUUAAGUAGCGGUGAAAUGCUUAGAUAUAACUUAGAACUCCGAUAGCGAAGGCAGCUUACCAGACUGCGACUGACGCUGAAGCACGAGAGCGUGGGUAGCGAACAGGAUUAGAUACCCUAGUAGUC
rnacentral:rRNA from 1 species